rnacentral:rRNA from 1 species
AAACCAGCACCUCAAGUGGUCAGGAGGAUUAUAGGGCCUAAAGCAUCCGUAGCCUGUUCUGUAAGUUUUCGGUUAAAUCCACUAGCUCAACUAGUGGGCUGCCGAAAAUACUGUAGAACUAGGGAGUGGGAGAGGUAGACGGUAUUCGGUAGGAAGGGGUAAAAUCCUUUGAUCUAUUGAGGACCACCUGUGGCGAAGGCGGUCUACCAGAACACGUUCGACGGUGAGGGAUGAAAGCUGGGGGAGCAAACCGGAUUAGAAACCCCGGUAGUCC